UGAUUAUAUCGAGAUUCAUGCCAGUGCUUGUGGAGAAAGCCAGUGUCCUGUUUGGGAUUUGUCAGACAUUGAGACAGUGGAUGUUGACACCGCGGAAGAGGCUGGCCCAUCAGGCAUAGCUUCCCAGACUACAUCCAACCAAAAUCUACCAUCUACUUCGUCAGCAUCACUGUCUGAUUUUACUGAUGAAGCAAAGGAUUGGAAAACUGUACCAGGCCCCAUUAAGGCAGCUGAUUUGUACAGGCAAUCUGUAAUCCAAGUUCAUGCAUCUGAGAAACCUCUGUAUAUGCAUCUUGACCUUACAAGCAGCAUUUCCGAC